GGCACAGUAGCCAAGUGGUAAGGCAAUGGUCUGCAACACCAUUAUUCACCGGUUCAAAUCCGGUCUGUGCCU
rnacentral:tRNA from 1 species